AAAGGUCCUGCAGGGCCUAUACAUUAUUUGAGUGCUGUAGAGAGUCUUCUAGAAGCCGAAGGCAGUAAGUGUGUCUUUGAAGCGCUUCUGCUGCCCUCCGUGAGCCCUUCUUCCCUGACUUAACUGAGAGAAGAGUACUUGCUUCUGGAGGUGAGUGUCAGGCAUACGUACACAGUGGCCAGCCCAGCGAAGUUGAUGUUUCAUGACCUACUCUUCUAUACUGCUGAUGUUGGCUGCAGAGAGAAUGCUGAUGUUAGUGCGUCGCUCUUUCCAGCUGAUCCUGAGAAUCCUUCUGGGGCAGCACUGUUGGAACCACUCCCGCCGCUUGAAAUGUCAUCUGUAGGUUAGCCAGUUCUAACAACCAUAAAGAAGGGUGGAGAUGAGAACUGUCUUGUAAACCAAGAUCCUGUUUGUAGAUCCUAAUCAUUGAAGACUCGUUUGAGUAGUCUUCCAAAGGAUGUGCUGGCACAGUGGAUCCUGUAUUCAAUUUCUUUGUCAAUGCUGGCUGUGACGUUCUGUACCUUGAGGGAACACCCUAUACCCCCAUGUUUAUCCUUAUAAUGUGAUUGUGUGGUAUCUAAUGCAAAGUUUGUCAUGUUGGGUGUCUUCGGAAGGCACAUGAUGCACUGAGCAUUGUUGUUAUAGUAAUGUUAUAGGUUGUAAUUUCAUGUAUAUAUUUAUGAGGCUGAAAAUGUGUCCUCAUGGCUUAAAAUAAGCCCAGGCAAAAACUCUCCAAGAGCAGAGGGGCAGUUCACACCUCGUCAGGGCAUGUAUGGGACAAACCCAGCCCAGCCUCACAGGAACAAUGGACACUGGCCUAGGCAGAAACAAAGGAUCUGUUGGACUCUAGAGUGAGUCACCCCCCUUCCUUUGGUCAGUUUGGGACUACGAUGAGGUAAUGCUCACCUGACUCUGAAGCGGGAGCGGGGGGCAAAGCCAAGAGGGAAGAAAGAACAUGAUAAAAGGGAGAGACAUUUGCCAUGCUCUUCCUCUCUCACUUCCAUCUCCAUCUACCGACACCACCACCAAGCGACUGAAGCGCUGAUCAAAGGGGAGAGCCUGGCUGAAGGGCAACCAGCCAGCCUGUGGUGAGAAGCAUCUAAGUUUGUAAGGACAUUGAAAGUAUUAAGAUCAGCUUAGAAUGUGUUUUGCUUUUAUUUCAUUUGACCAAAUCUGACUUGUUAUGCUUUGACUUAUAAUCAUUUAAAAUUUAUCUUUGUAGUUAAUAAAUCUGUUUGUUUAUUC